GUGUCAGCCGCCGCGGUAAUACGAAGGUGGCGAGCGUUGUUCGGAAUCACUGGGCUUAAAGAGCACGUAGGCGGCCCAUCAAGUACUUUGUGAAAUCCCAUGGCUCAACCAUGGAAUUGCUUGGUAUACUGUUCGGGCUUGAGGCAGGUAUGGGCGUGUGGAACUCUUGGUGGAGCGGUGGAAUGCGUAGAUAUCAAGAGGAACGCCGGAGGCGAAAGCGAUACGCUGGGCCUGUCCUGACGCUGAGGUGCGAAAGCCAGGGGAGCAAACGGGAUUAGAAACCCGGGUAGUCC
rnacentral:rRNA from 1 species